rnacentral:rRNA from 1 species
AGCGUACACGGUGGAUGCCCUGGCAGUCAGAGGCGAUGAAGGACGUGCUAAUCUGCGAUAAGCGUCGGUAAGGUGAUAUGAACCGUUAUAACCGGCGAUUUCCGAAUGGGGAAACCCAGUGUGUUUCGACACACUAUCAUUAACUGAAUCCAUAGGUUAAUGAGGCGAACCGGGGGAACUGAAACAUCUAAGUACCCCGAGGAAAAGAAAUCAACCGAGAUUCCCCCAGUAGCGGCGAGCGAACGGGGAGCAGCCCAGAGCCUGAAUCAGUGUGUGUGUUAGUGGAAGCGUCUGGAAAGGCGCGCGAUACAGGGUGACAGCCCCGUACACAAAAAUGCACAUACUGUGAGCUCGAUGAGUAGGGCGGGACACGUGGUAUCCUGUCUGAAUAUGGGGGGACCAUCCUCCAAGGCUAAAUACUCCUGACUGACCGAUAGUGAACCAGUACCGUGAGGGAAAGGCGAAAAGAACCCCGGCGAGGGGAGUGAAAAAGAACCUGAAACCGUGUACGUACAAGCAGUGGGAGCCUCUUUAUGGGGUGACUGCGUACCUUUUGUAUAAUGGGUCAGCGACUUAUAUUCUGUAGCAAGGUUAACCGAAUAGGGGAGCCGAAGGGAAACCGAGUCUUAACUGGGCGUUAAGUUGCAGGGUAUAGACCCGAAACCCGGUGAUCUAGCCAUGGGCAGGUUGAAGGUUGGGUAACACUAACUGGAGGACCGAACCGACUAAUGUUGAAAAAUUAGCGGAUGACUUGUGGCUGGGGGUGAAAGGCCAAUCAAACCGGGAGAUAGCUGGUUCUCCCCGAAAGCUAUUUAGGUAGCGCCUCGUGAAUUCAUCUCCGGGGGUAGAGCACUGUUUCGGCAAGGGGGUCAUCCCGACUUACCAACCCGAUGCAAACUGCGAAUACCGGAGAAUGUUAUCACGGGAGACACACGGCGGGUGCUAACGUCCGUCGUGAAGAGGGAAACAACCCAGACCGCCAGCUAAGGUCCCAAAGUCAUGGUUAAGUGGGAAACGAUGUGGGAAGGCCCAGACAGCCAGGAUGUUGGCUUAGAAGCAGCCAUCAUUUAAAGAAAGCGUAAUAGCUCACUGGUCGAGUCGGCCUGCGCGGAAGAUGUAACGGGGCUAAACCAUGCACCGAAGCUGCGGCAGCGACACUAUGUGUUGUUGGGUAGGGGAGCGUUCUGUAAGCCUGUGAAGGUGUGCUGUGAGGUAUGCUGGAGGUAUCAGAAGUGCGAAUGCUGACAUAAGUAACGAUAAAGCGGGUGAAAAGCCCGCUCGCCGGAAGACCAAGGGUUCCUGUCCAACGUUAAUCGGGGCAGGGUGAGUCGGCCCCUAAGGCGAGGCCGAAAGGCGUAGUCGAUGGGAAACAGGUUAAUAUUCCUGUACUUGGUGUUACUGCGAAGGGGGGACGGAGAAGGCUAUGUUGGCCGGGCGACGGUUGUCCCGGUUUAAGCGUGUAGGCUGGUUUUCCAGGCAAAUCCGGAAAAUCAAGGCUGAGGCGUGAUGACGAGGCACUACGGUGCUGAAGCAACAAAUGCCCUGCUUCCAGGAAAAGCCUCUAAGCAUCAGGUAACAUCAAAUCGUACCCCAAACCGACACAGGUGGUCAGGUAGAGAAUACCAAGGCGCUUGAGAGAACUCGGGUGAAGGAACUAGGCAAAAUGGUGCCGUAACUUCGGGAGAAGGCACGCUGAUAUGUAGGUGAAGUCCCUUGCGGAUGGAGCUGAAAUCAGUCGAAGAUACCAGCUGGCUGCAACUGUUUAUUAAAAACACAGCACUGUGCAAACACGAAAGUGGACGUAUACGGUGUGACGCCUGCCCGGUGCCGGAAGGUUAAUUGAUGGGGUUAGCGGUAACGCGAAGCUCUUGAUCGAAGCCCCGGUAAACGGCGGCCGUAACUAUAACGGUCCUAAGGUAGCGAAAUUCCUUGUCGGGUAAGUUCCGACCUGCACGAAUGGCGUAAUGAUGGCCAGGCUGUCUCCACCCGAGACUCAGUGAAAUUGAACUCGCUGUGAAGAUGCAGUGUACCCGCGGCAAGACGGAAAGACCCCGUGAACCUUUACUAUAGCUUGACACUGAACAUUGAGCCUUGAUGUGUAGGAUAGGUGGGAGGCUUUGAAGUGUGGACGCCAGUCUGCAUGGAGCCGACCUUGAAAUACCACCCUUUAAUGUUUGAUGUUCUAACGUUGGCCCCUGAUCGGGGUUGCGGACAGUGUCUGGUGGGUAGUUUGACUGGGGCGGUCUCCUCCCAAAGAGUAACGGAGGAGCACGAAGGUUGGCUAAUCCUGGUCGGACAUCAGGAGGUUAGUGCAAUGGCAUAAGCCAGCUUGACUGCGAGCGUGACGGCGCGAGCAGGUGCGAAAGCAGGUCAUAGUGAUCCGGUGGUUCUGAAUGGAAGGGCCAUCGCUCAACGGAUAAAAGGUACUCCGGGGAUAACAGGCUGAUACCGCCCAAGAGUUCAUAUCGACGGCGGGGUUUGGCACCUCGAUGUCGGCUCAUCACAUCCUGGGGCUGAAGUAGGUCCCAA